CAAAACUCAUAUUUUUAACUUAUCAUGAUUUCAGGUGUAUCUUUCAAAUUGAUCUUACUGACGGUACUGCUACAGUCACAGCAUCUAUCUCUGGUGAACUGGGAGAAAAACUACUCUCCUUGACAGCGGAAGACAUAUUUGACAUAACCUGUGCUAAGAGGCAAUCAUUUCAUGUUAAUCAUGUCCAUGAGAUGUUGUCCAACAAACAAUUUUAAAUUCAGCUAAGGAAGUCAUCUUGGGGUACCUCAAACAAUACACAAGCAACUUACUCCAUUAUUUCCUACAUGGAAAAGCAACAUACUUCUCCAACCACUAUUGAUAGGAAUUCCAAAAAGAUAAGACCUUUGGAGAUAAGUGAGAUGGAGGUGACAGAAACAGCUACUGCAGCUGGUUCUUCAAAUGCAACUCUGAAAUUUGAACCACCUACACCAACAAAAAAAGCUGUAAAAGGAACUUCCUCACUUGAUUUUGUGUCUUUUGCUUAAUGAAGUUUUUGGAUUCCCAGUCGAUUCAACUUUGCUCAAUAGGGAGAAUGAAAUGAAUCAGUUAACUUUUUGUCCACGAAAUGAAUCAGUUAACUUUUUGUGCAGCCUUCAUUAUUUAGCUUUGCUGGAACCCUUAACAACUCCCUAUGCUAUGGUUUUGGGAAUGAUGAAGAAGAUCAGCAACUGAAAUUGAACAGCAGCAUCCUCUACAUAUAUGAUAUGAUAAACAAUCACAUGUUGAUCUCAUAUGUCAAAAAAAUAUUUUAAUUUUAUUACCUUAGUUAAUAUGGUAUCAGUUGUACAUAUAUUUUGAAUAUCUCUAAUACUAUAUAACAUUAUCAAAUUAUCUUA